UACGGGGGGGGCAAGCGUUGUUCGGAAUUACUGGGCGUAAAGGGCUCGUAGGCGGCCAACUAAGUCAGACGUGAAAUCCCUCGGCUUAACCGGGGAACUGCAUCUGAUACUGGAUGGCUUGAGUUCGGGAGAGGGAUGCGGAAUUCCAGGUGUAGCGGUGAAAUGCGUAGAUAUCUGGAGGAACACCGGUGGCGAAGGCGGCUUCCUGGCCUGUAACUGACGCUGAGACGCGAAAGCGUGGGGAGCGAACCGG
rnacentral:rRNA from 1 species